rnacentral:tRNA from 1 species
UGCGGGGUAGCUCAAUAAGGUCGAGCGCCUGCCUGUUACGCAGGAGGAUGUGGGUUCGAGUCCCACCCCCGUAG